GGAAGACUUAAUUAAAUAUCUGAAAUAUACACCACUGGAACCAAUUAAUAAUCAUCAAGGGAUCAGAAAAGGAAGGACAGUAAUAAAAAGAGUUUAUAAAGUCGAAAUUUCAGGUGAGAGGGAAAAAAUCCUAUCCACAUUCUUCUGAAUCUCUGAAUUGAUCAGCAUAUGAGAUAUGCUUCAGAUAUGUUUGCCUGUCAGACUCAUAAACACAACAAGAUAUGCCAGCUGCAAUGAAGAGAAGCCCUGUUUCAGUUCGUGGAUUACAGACUGCAACAUCCAUCAGCAUCAAGACAAACACCUUCAAACUACUGUCCUUGGCGUCCAGCCUAACAGAUCUGAGGAAUGUGAUAAAGGAACACUGGAUUCCCAAGGUCUGCUCAGGUUUCCUUCCAUAACAAGAAGUAGCCAAAUACAGCUGAACAGGCCUGUUCAGAGGUUCGUAACCUGCUCAAUGGUUUAAACAACAACAACAAGCAGUAUCGGAAGUCAGCAUCAUCUACUCAGCAGCCCAAAUCUGGAAGGUUUUGGAAAAAAUCAGGACACCACUGUUAACCACCUUAACAAGACUGCAAACACAGGCUGUCUAUUCCUCAUCAACAGAAUCUUUGAUACUGGCAAUUUGUUUAGAUUGGCUUGCAGAAGCAUAUAUUGGUAGCUAUGUUAUGAAUAUUUACCGGUUUCAUACACAUUCAUAAAAAUCAGAAACAUUUUCCUCCUAGGUAUCUGCAUUGGUCUUGAAUGGCUGUUUAAAAAUAAUCAGAAACCCCCACUCAUUCAAGAAUGACUCUUACCUACAACCCAAAUAAGCCAUACAGACAAGGGUAGAUCUCAGAUGAAUGAUAAUCAAGGGCCCUGUUAAAAUCUUCUGAAAUCAAAAAUAAAUAGUAAUUACUUUAUUAUCUAUCUGCCUAUCUAUUCAACCAUUCACAUUCUUUAAAAUUUUUGUAGGUACAUAGUAGGUGUACAUAUUUAUGGGGCAUAAGUUAUAUUUUGAUAUGGGCAUAAAUGUGUAAUAAUCACAUCAGGGUAAAUGGGGUAGCCAUCACCUCAAGCAUUUAUCCUAUUACAAGCAAUCCAAUUAUGCUUUUUUAGUUAUUUUGACAUGUGCAAUGAAGAUAUUAUUGAUUAUAGUCACCCUGAUAGGCUAUCAAAUCCUAAAUCUUAUUUAUUCUUUCUAACUAUUUUUUGGUACCAAUGAACCGUCCCCACUUUUCCCUCCAAGUUCCUUAACCUUCCCAGCCUCUGGUAACCAUCCUUCUACUCUCUCUCUCUCCAUGAGUUCAAUUGUUUAAAUUUUUAGCUCCCACAAAUAAAUGAGAUCCAUUCAUUCAUCCAUCCACCCAUCUAUCCAAAGUUGUUUUCACUGACUGCAAAUCCAUUGGUUGGGUCAAUUGCUUAUGAAGAUACAUGACAAAAGGGUGAUAUUUAUUUAUGUAUUUAAAAAAUGUGUUUCUCAAUGAGAACACAUGGACACAGGGAGGGGAACCUCACACGCUGGGGCCUGUUGGGUAGUGGGGGGCUAGCAGAGGGAUAGCAUUAGGAGAAAUACCUAAUGUAGAUGACAGGUUCAUGAGUGCAGCAAACCACCAUGGCACAUGUAUACCUAUGUAACAAACCUGCAUGUUCUGCACAUGUAUCACAGAACUUAAAGUAUAAUAGAAAAUGGCAAAAACCACAUUAAAAAAAAUGUGUUUCUUCCGCUAAAUUAGAACAAUCAAGCUCUGUGUUAUUCAUCACUGAAUAGCACAACCGAGAGGCUACCAGAAACAUACUUAGGGGUAUUUGAUAGGAUUUUCAAGAAGUCCACUGUCCAAAGAUUCUUAAUUCCUUUUCAGGAAGAACCAAGAAUCCUUAGAGCUAAUAAAUCUACUUCAAAUGUUUAAUGGGUAAAAAGAGUUUGACACUAACUACUCCAGGGCAAGAGAAAUUGCUAUGCAUAGCCUUAAUACACUACGGCUACAUCGUUAAACUGCGACCCAAACUACAUGUUUGCUCCAUCCCAGAAUCACCCCCAACAUGUCUAUUUAUCUCAAGAGGGAUUCUGAAAGCAAAUCUUUGUAAAUAAUCUGGACGUAUUUUUUUCCAGGACAGAUUCUAAAUUUUCCUACCAUAAAUGUAUGUGUGGUAGUAGUUAUAAUAAUUCUUAUUAGGAAUAUUUAUUUAAAACUGAUUUUUGUUUGAAUUUUGGUUAACUUAUUUCCCCUAUCGGAAGAAAAAAAUGGAAGUGGGAGGGAUAUUCAAAUAUAGAAUAAUAGUAAGGAAAAUGGUAAAUCUUUGAACUCUAUCUUGAUUACAUGCAAAUAUCUCUAAAAGGGAUAGCAAUAGUCAAACACACACAGGGAGAGAAAUGUGGAGUUAUUGAGUUAUUAAGGGAGCACUGCAUGUGGCUGGAAUAUUGGACAACAUUUUCCAAAAAGCAUUGAAGACUCUUUAAUUACUCAAGGCUAUCAAAUAUCAUGGAGCUGUGAUUUGUUUCUUGUCACACACACAGCUGACAAAGAGUGGCCACAAUGAAAAGCUGUGACUUGAUGACCUGUUAUUGGGAGUGCUUUUACAUUUUUAAUUUCUUUCUUACUCUUCCUUCCUUUGGGGGAAUGGAGAGAAACUCUCACCCCUUCCUUUUACCAUACAGUCAGAAGAUUAAUGUUUCAUAAUAGAAUCACAUAGAGUUGUGUUUGUUUUACUGUCAAGGGCAUUACGGAAACUGACAGUCAAACUACCAAUUUAAAAGGAUGCGUGGUGCUAUCCCGAACAAACAUAGGAGGCUUGUGUACAAUGCAAAGGCCAAUUAGAGGGUCAUAACAUCCUUCCUAAUUUGAUGUGACAUUGGUUUCCCAAAUGAAUGAAACCUGACACAUACAAAACUCAAAGUCUAUAACAAAGAAAACAGGUAGAGAUGGAAGGAAAGGUAAAAAGGAAAAAUGUUGACUGUCAUAUCCUGCUUAUUAUAAGCAGCUCACUUACAAAUUAUCAUAUUGCUUUUCUCUUAUCAUAUGACUUUCAUCUAUGGCAACUCCAAACACAGGUACAGAAGAGGUCCUGAUAAUACAUGUCCUAGAAUCACUGUCUUAUGAUUAUCAGAAUGUUUUAAUAAAUCCAUCACAUUGUCUGGGCUGCAAGCAAAAUAGCAUCACAGUUAUACAUGAUGAUAAAAAUUUUUGUAAUGAUCACAGUGUGUCACAAUAUAAUCACCAGGGCCAGAUCUUGAGACUCAAAUGUCACUUCAAGAGAAAGUUUCUGGAAGUUUUAAUGGACACAGAAUAAAUACAUAAAAAUUAGCAGGUCAUAGCUUUUUAACUCAUCAGAAAAGUGGUAUUUUCUCUGACCUUUUUUUUUUUUUAUAAAAUUUCAACCUCCCAAGUCCCUAUUUCUUUUAUCUACCUAGUUUCUCUUUGUAGCACUUAGCACUGUCAAACAAGUUACAUAAUUUACUUACUUGUUACCCAUUCCCAAGCCCCUCAUGCCUGGAAGAAAAUUCCACAGAGACAGGGUUUUUUGUCCACUUUGUUCAGAUCAGCAAAUAGUUAUUGAAUUAAUUAAUUACUUAAUGUCUUCAUACCAACUGGGUGUGGGCUUAGUAUUAAAAUCAUAUCACUGAGCCAAUUUGAGCAAAGGUGGAGGCUACAGAGAUUGACAAAGAAGAAGAAUAGGAGAUAGGAAGCCAAUGAUAGAAAAGAGAUGGUCAGGUAUAAACUUCUCAUGUGUUUCCCAUCCUUGCCUUACAUUUUCCUCUGCUGUUCUCUUGCUGCCAUUUCAUCUCACAGCCUUUCAUAUUUAGCCAACAGUGCUGUCGCCAAAGGAACUCAAUGCCCUGGAGAGAAAUUCAGUGUAUGCUUCUAUUCAUCCUCCCCUUAUCAGUGGGAACCAUAUCAUUUCAAAUGAUGCCAUGUUAUAAUCCCUAGAAUACAACAAAGUAACUCUCCUGCUAGUAUUAACAAGUUAAUCAAAUUAAAGGUAUUCAGAAUUUAUACUGCCUAAGGCUGUUUCUGCUUUGUCUUCUCCCCUGUUCUUCCCCUGAAACCUCCCACCAGCUUGAAUAGUAUAACUGAAAAUCCAGCUGAGACGGGCAACAUCUAAUAAUUCUUCACUGGAGUACGUUAUUUAGACUUCCAUUCACUGUGCAUACGUAUUCACUGAAUAUUAUUAAACUACAUAUUUAUUGAGUUGUGCCAUUCUUUCCUCUUUUUUGAGUUUCAUUUUAAAUGAACAUAUAGUUGUUUAAACCACAACUAUAACAUAAAUAAAAGAAACUCACAAAAUAAAACAUCUGGUAUCCCCAGGAAAUUAAAUGCUAAAAUACUAUGUUAAUUCAAGUGACAAGUGGAGACUUUAAAUGUGGAGAAUUCAAGAAAGAUCAAAUUUAUACUUCCCAUUGUCCCCAAAACAGCAAGGCAGCAUAUGUACAUUUAUUAAGAUAUAAAUAUAAGAUAGCAGGCAUGGUCUAGAGAAUUAAGUAGGCGACUUAGAAAUUGCUUUUGCCUUUGACUCAGCAUGUGAUCAUUAUAAAAUGUUAUUUAACAUUGAGGGUCUCAGUCUUUCCCUCUUUUCUAACUUUUUAUUUUCAAGAAUAUAUUUGCCUAAGUAAUUGAGAAAGUUAUACUUAACCCUUUUGUCC
rnacentral:lncRNA from 1 species